rnacentral:rRNA from 1 species
AUGAGCGUUGAGCGUCAUCAGGUAGCAACACAUCUUCCAUGACAUAAAACUUAUCAGACUGAGUCGGUGCAGAAGUCGAGUUGGUCUGGCACUGCAAUGGUGUGUUCCUCUUGCACCCGCCACUAUAAUCCUGAAGGUCCCAGUCACUCAGAACCUUCGGGCUGA